GCGCCGAUGGUUUAGUGGUAAAAUUCUCCGUUGCCAUCCAGCAGCGUCGGGGAGCCGGGGGUUCGAUUCCCCAGCGUCGGGGAGCCGGGGGUGUUCGAUUCCCCCUCGGCGCA
rnacentral:tRNA from 2 species